rnacentral:lncRNA from 1 species
UUCUAUUAGUUGUACCCUAUAAAAGGGAAACAUUUAUUAUUUUGGAGAGAAUUAAUAAAUCAGUUUUAAAGUUAAAAAAUGGAUCUAGGGUUGCAGCAACCCAAUAUCCAGACUUCUACUGUUCCAUUGCUCUCCUCCUACCAUCUGCUGCACUUCAGCAACACUACUCCUAUUAGACGAAUGGAAGAAAAGCAAAGGGACGUGUAUGAGGAGAUGGAAAAACGAUUGAAAAUGUUAGAAGAAACCCGAACAAACAAAGAAAUCGACGGAAAUAUUACAUCUCCUACUAGUCGCAUUCCGUCAUCUAAAGGUUCGACUUUUUAUACAAAACCUUCGAAGACUAUUAUCUCGAUUACGUUACCAUUACCAUCAAAUUCUAAAAUUCCACAUAUACCAUCGAAAAUGAUGGAUAUUGUACUUAAACGACGUCGAUGUUAAUGUUUAAACUAGUUCUUAAACUAUUUC